ensembl:lncRNA
AUCCAUACCUUAACAUAGAGGAUGCUCUGCACCCAUCCUUCCCUGCUCAUCUCUUCUGAAAUACUUCUAGCCCUUGGUUAUAAUGUUUCAGCUGUGCAUUUCAUCCCACUGUCAUUCUGUGACAGUAAUUAGGUUAUAGCUUUUUAAUUGCGCCACGACUUCCAACUCCUCCUUCUUAUUUCCCACUUUGUGUGUGUUGAUGUAGAGGUGCUUCAGUUGGGCUAUCAGCAUUGUUACUUUCUUAGAGAAGCAUAGUUCCUUUAGGACAGUUCAGAGCUUUUUCUCUGCUUCUCCCUAGAGUGAUGGUGUUCCCUGGCCCUUCUCUGUCCCUGAGAAGAAAAUCCUUUUCCCCUAUCAAAUCUAAUAUGAAGUUCUGGUCAUCAGCCCAGCCGGCUUUCUGCCCAGAAUAUUCUUGCUCCUCUUUGUCAGUUGUGUCCCAUCCUACAUCUACAUACCCAGUGUCUGGGUGGUAUAUCCAAGAUAAUAAAACACCAAGUGCAAUGCCAUCCACACAGCCAAUCAUGCACCUGAUCUGUUCAUCUCCUUUUUCCUGGGUCCCAGUCUCCAACUGGGAUGAUAACGGAGAACACAACCUGUGUUCCUAAUCCCUUCAACAUCUAUCUCAGGGAAAUAAGGUAAAUAUAGUUCUCGUUGCAGCCUCAUGUUAUCCAACUUGAAAGAGCAGCAAUGGGUAAUAGUCCUCUGGCUUUAGCAGGCCCAGGAGCUUCUUCUUGCUAUCAUGAAUGCAGGUCCCUGGCAGACAGCAAACCUAUCUGGAGAGAUUCUCCAGGUGGCGAAUGUGUGCCUCAAUACCUCUGAACAAGGAGUCCCUAGUUAUUAACACCUUUUGCCUUUUUUUGGUGACACUGGGUCUAAUAAAGGUAGUUGGUUGGACCAGUUCAGUGUGUCUUCCUGUGUCUGCACUAUUACCCAUGCCGUCUCCUCUUUCCACCCCUAGUCUCAUAUUUGUUGUUGGGUCACUUCAGGGGCAAGGGGGAGGCUCCUCCUGCUCUGACCAAAGACCAGGGUUUGAUCUCCCUCAUCUUGAGUGUUUUUGCCAUCUGUCUCCUCAAGGUUGGAAGCUUGUUUAUCUUCUUCCCUUUGUAGGGACUUAAGGCAGUGCUGUUUGCCCAUGUCACUGCAUGAUAUCAAUGACAUCAGUUUUUCUCUCAGAUUCCUGGAUACUUUACUGUUUAGUGAUUUCCUCUCAAAAUAUGUCCACCUGCUUGAACUGGACACACCUGUACCCGUGACAUGCCCCUCUGUCCUCAUGGUUGCCUUCCAUUUUCUGGAGUCCCCUACAACCGAGGGUCUGGGCAGCUCUGUCACUCUUUGGGACAUCUAUCUGGGUGCACACAUCAGCCCAGAAAGGUUGUGGUGCCCCUGUCAACCGGGCUGUUGUGGUGGGUUAGCACUGUGUUUGUUUCAAUAGAAGGCUGCACCCUGCUACUCCUGCAGCACUCCCUGCAGAUCCUGCAAUUCCUCAUACAGCAUUUUUCUUUCUUCCAAUGGAAGAAAGCAGGUAGAAUGCCUAAUUUGUUUGUUUUGAUUCCUGAGUAAUAUGGACUCUACUGCUGCUCCCAUUCAUGCGCAUAUUACUUCUCUGAGUAGUUAAUACCCGAUGGUUUUCUCCUUCCCACUUAUUUUUGUCUUCAAGUCUCAAAUAAAGCCACUAUCUUUUUCAAGUUCUGAAAAAUAAAUUACUAGGUAUUACGUUUCUUAUGAAUCCCAGAAAAUGAUCUGGAUUACAGGAAGACUGAUCUUUUCUGACGCACACUAAAUUAUUUUCAGUGCAUACACAAACAAGUAUCCAAAACAUGUGGCACACUACUGAAACGGGUAGUAAGCCUGUGUUCCUUGAUGUUUAGUGCUGCUGAGCAUAACCUACUAUACUGCCAGUUAGUAUAUCCAGAGUAACUUCUUAAACUUAUCUUAAAGAUAUCCAUUUGAAUGUUGCUUAAAGUGGCAUACCUUCAGCCUUGCUAUAUCUUUCAGAUAUUCCCAAUCGUCAAUUACUUUGAGCCUAGUAAUCCCAUCUACAGCCAGACAGCCCUACUUUAAACAUGACAUAUGUGUGAAAGUGAACUGUCACAAAGUGAAAAGGCUUAAUCCCUGCAUUCACCAUGCCCUUCUGAUGCUCUCAUGAUCCACUGAAGAGUUUUCCCUCUGGAGUGCCACUGGACAUUUUCACUGGACUGUUGGCACACGAGGAGAUACCUUGCAGUUGCAGCCACACUGCAGCAAUGUCGUAUCAAUGUCGUAUCUACCAGUGCACCAAUGAUGUUUGUCUGUUCAAGAUACAAUUGUCAAGCAAACGUUCAUUGUUAGGCAUCUUAAUUUGGUGCUGAAGCUGCAAUAAAGCUUCACAUGCAAGCAUACCAAGUUUUCUCAUAUCCUGAACUUCCCCUGGAAUGUGAUCUGCUGUGACACAAAUUUGUGCAGAGCUAUCUUGUUUAAUGCUCCUUCUUCACCAUUCACAACUAUCAAACAUUCUUCAUUGCUAACUAAAGAUCAAGCAACUUAUUUGCCUCUGCUUUUAUUUUGAUGAAUCUAAAUUUUAAAUUGUAGCAAAAGCAUCUAUUGUGAGGCAGUUUUGGUUCAGAGGAACAACCUUAGUGCCCCUUCUUCAUUUCUUGAUUUUUUCUGAUUUAAUCAUUCAUACACAAUUUGUAAAGCGUGUAAGGGGUCAAUGCCUCAGAAAGUUCUCUUACUCUGUUUGGCCAAGGUGGACGGCAUGGGAGAGAGGGUGAUUUUACUAAUGCUAGAGGGCUGACAAGUCUCUCAGUGUAGCUGGGGCACCAUUAGGUACUUUUCCUCAUUUUGCCAAUUUUUCCCUUGUUGUCAUUUAGUUAUAUGUUCACUUCUCCUUAAUGUAAUGUACUGGCAGAGUAACACAUCAACAUGGAUGUUUCCUCCCUUUCCCCAUAUUACAUGUUAUUUAGUAUUCCCUACCUUCAGACUUUGCAAAUAGGAGUCAUUUUUUUCGCACUGUUUUCUUCUCUGUCCUGGUAGCAAAUGGGUAACCUUCAAUCACUUUGACUGAAGGUGAUUUACCUGAAAGAAGGACAUGGAAAUAGCUUGUCUCAGUUGACCAGAGUAAUGUUUUCUUUACUAUUAUUUUGUUGCCAGAAGAAGCAGAACAAAUAUUACCAUUACACAAGGAACGCUGGCAGCCACAAGCUGCCAUCUCAGCUAUCACACAGCGCAUUCUUUUUGCAAUAAGUAUUGCAGAGAAAGCUGCAAAGGAAUGCUCACAAACACAAAGGUUUGAACUACAGCAUUAUCCACAUCCUAGUUUUGUCUGUGCUGUGAGUGCAGAAGCACAGAAUGCUGGGAUAGCGUAGACUGGUGGGGAUCUCAGGAGGCAGGUUGCUCAGGGCUUGAGCCAGUUGAGGUCUUGAAAACGAACAAGGCUGAGGAUGGCACAACCUCCCUGGGCAACCCGUGCCACUGCUUCUGUUCUUUAUGUUCUGUUCAACUUUUCAUGUUUAAAUUUUUUGCAACAAACACCAGUUUGUUGAUACCUUUCUUGUACUAGGGGCCCAAAGCUGCAUGCAGUACUUGGAUGUGACAUAAGGAGUGCUAAGUAGAGGGGGAUAAUCCACCUCUCCAUUUCCCAGUCAUGUCUGCCAGCACUCCGUGGGCCCAUUUCUAUAUGAGCAAGAUAUUUGAUAGGAAGCAGAACCAUGCAUCUGCACUACAUUUUUCACUAAAACAGCAAACCUUCUCCAUGUUGAUGUCUUGGCAGACUCACAGCCUACACUUGGAAAGUAUUUGGUGGCUAUUCUUUUUUUUUAAGCCAUAAAAAUGUGAGAACACUGUACUGCAGAGUAUUCCCAUGGUGCUGUUACUGAAUGAUAAUAUGACAAAUAUAAAACAAAAUCAAAUAAAUAUUCUUAUAAAUACUGUGAC